UUGAACGCUGGCGGCAUGCCUAACACAUGCAAGUCGAACGGCAGCAUGGUCUAGCUUGCUAGACUGAUGGCGAGUGGCGGACGGGUGAGUAACGCGUAGGAAUAUACCUCAAAGAGGGGGAUAACUUGGGGAAACUCAAGCUAAUACCGCAUAAGCUCUGAGGAGUGAAGCUGGGGACCGAAAGGCCUGGCGCUUUGAGAAUAGCCUGCGUACGAUUAGCUAGUUGGCGGGGUAAGGGCCUACCAAGGCGACGAUCGUUAGCUGGUUUGAGAGAAUGGCCAGCCACACUGGAACUGAGACACGGUCCAGACUCCUACGGGAGGCAGCAGUGGGGAAUAUUGGACAAUGGGGGGAACCCUGACCCAGCAAUGCCGCGUGUGUGAAGAAGGCCUGAGGGUUGUAAAGCACUUUCAGUGGGGAGGAGGUUUUGUAGGUUAAGAGCUAGCAAGAUGGACGUUACCCACAGAAGAAACACCGGCUAACUCCGUGCCAGCAGCCGCUGUAA
rnacentral:rRNA from 1 species